rnacentral:rRNA from 1 species
UACGUAGGGGGCAAGCGUUGUCCGGAAUCAUUGGGCGUAAAGCGCGUGUAGGCGGCCAGGUAAGUCCGUUCUGAAAGCCCGGGGCUCAACCCCGGGAGGCGGAUGGAUACUGCUUGGCUCGAGUCCGGAAGAGGCGAGUGGAAUUCCCGGUGUAGCGGUGAAAUGCGCAGAUAUCGGGAGGAACACCGGUGGCGAAGGCGGGACUCUGGGCCGAGUACUGACGCUGAGGAGCGAAAGCGUGGGGAGCAAACA